UUUGAUCUCAAAUCAGGUAGGACUACCCGCUGAACUUAAGUCAUAUCAAUAAGCGGAGGAAAAGAAACUAACAAGGAUUCCCCUAGUAACUGCGAGUGAAGCGGGAAGAGCUCAAAUUUAAAAUCUGGCGUGCCUCUGGCCGUCCGAGUUGUAGUCUGGAGAAGCGUCUUCCGUGUUGGACCGUGUAUAAGUCUCUUGGAACAGGGCGUCAUAGAGGGUGAGAAU
rnacentral:rRNA from 1 species